rnacentral:rRNA from 1 species
UGGGGGAUAUUGCACAAUGGGCGAAAGCCUGAUGCAGCGACGCCGCGUGGGGGAUGAAGGCCUUCGGGUUGUAAACUUCUUUUGCUCUGAACAAGGCAUGCCUUUGGGGUGUGUUGAGUGUAGGGGUUGAUUAGCGCCGGCUAACUACGUGCCAGCAGCCGCGGUAAUACGUAGGGCGCGAGCGUUGUCCGGAAUUAUUGGGCGUAAAGGGCUUGUAGGUGGCUGGUUGCGUCUGUCGUGAAAGCUCAUGGCUUAACUGUGGGUUUGCGGUGGGUACGUGCUGGCUUGAGUGCAGUAGGGGAGGCUGGAAUUCCUGGUGUAGCAGUGGAAUGCGCAGAUAUCAGGAGGAAUACCGGUGGCGAAGGCGGGUCUCUGGGCUGUUACUGACGCUGAGGAGCGAAAGCGUGGGGAGCGAACAGG